UGGGGAAUCUUCCGCAAUGGACGAAAGUCUGACGGAGCAACGCCGCGUGAGUGAAGAAGGUUUUCGGAUCGUAAAACUCUGUCUUUUGGGGCGAACGUGAGUAUGGUGAACAAUCAUAGUCAGUGACGGUACCAAAGGAGGAAGCCACGGCUAACUACGUGCCAGCAGCCGCGGUAAUACGUAGGUGGCAAGCGUUGUCCGGAAUUAUUGGGCGUAAAGAGCGCGUAGGCGGGAUAGUCAGUCUGUUGUAAAAGUGCGGGGCUCAACCCCGUGAUGGCAAUGGAAACAGCUAUUCUUGAGUGCAGGAGAGGAAAGGUGGAAUUCCCAGUGUAGCGGUGAAAUGCGUAGAUAUUGGGAGGAACACCAGUGGCGAAGGCGACUUUCUGGACUGUGUCUGACGCUGAGGCGCGAAAGCCAGGGGAGCGAACGGGAUUAGAUACCCCGGUAGUCCUGGCCGUAAACGAUGGGUACUAGGUGUGGGAGGUAUCGACCCCCUUCCGUGCCGGAGUUAACGCAAUAAGUACCCCGCCUGGGGAGUACGGUCGCAAGACUGAAACUCAAAUGAAUUGACGGGGUCAUAGCUGUUUCCUG
rnacentral:rRNA from 1 species